rnacentral:tRNA from 1 species
GGGGAUGUAGCUCAACUGGGAGAGCGUCGCGUUCGCAAUGCGAAGGUCAGGGGUUCGAGCCCCCUCAUCUCCACCA